CUUCCCCUUUUUAUUUGACACGCAGCUAGCACAUUCUGCGCUUUCUCCAGACUCCUGUAGCGGCGAACCAGGCAAUGGGCCCACACCAUACACAUACAACUAUGGCUCAAUAACACCCUACUGCAGAGCGGGUAGAGAUGGAACUGAGGAGAGUAUGGAUUGCUCCUAUGCAAUAACAGUGGCAUCUGAAGCUGUGAACAACAUCUUUUGCUGAUAUUCUACUGGGUGUGGGGGAUGAUAUGGAUGCCAAAAAGCUAGCAUUACAUAUUCCAUUGUAUAUGUAUGAAUGGAGCUCCGUUACUUAAUCUGCAAAAUGAGAUGGUGAUAGUGAUACAAUUGUUGAUUUUUGAAAUGUACUGAUUCAAGAUAAGAUGUUAUUUUAUAAUAACUAAUGCAGAUUUUCCAU